GAUGAACGCUGGCGGCGUGCCUAAUACAUGCAAGUCGAGCGAACGGACGAGAAGCUUGCUUCUCUGAUGUUAGCGGCUGACGGGUGAGUAACACGUGGAUAACCUUCCUAUAAGACUGGGAUAACUUCGUGAAACCGGAUCUAAUACCGGAUAAUAUUUUGAACCGCAUGGUUCAAAAGUUAAUGACGGUCUUGCUGUCACUUAUAGAUGGUUCCGCGCUGCAUUAGCUAGUUGGUAAGGUAACGGCUUACCAAGGCAACGAUGCAUAGCCGACCUGAGAGGGUGAUCGGCCACACUGGAACUGAGACACGGUCCAGACUCCUACGGGAGGCAGCAGUAGGGAAUCUUCCGCAAUGGGCGAAAGCCUGACGGAGCAACGCCGCGUGAGUGAUUAAGGUCUUCGGAUCGUAAAACUCUGUUAUUAGGGAAGAACAUAUGUGUAAGUAACUGUGCACAUCUUGACGGUACCUAAUCAGAAAGCAACGGCUAACUACGUG
rnacentral:rRNA from 1 species